AAGUCGAGGGGAAACGACAUCGAAAGCUUGCUUUUGAUGGGCGUCGACCGGCGCACGGGUGAGUAACGCGUAUCCAACCUGCCUUACACUCUUGGGGAUAACCUUGCGAAAGUAAGACUAAUACCCAAUGACGUCUCUAGAAGACAUCUGAAAGGGAUUAAAGAUUUAUCGGUGAUGGAUGGGGAUGCGUCUGAUUAGCUUGUUGGCGGGGUAACGGCCCACCAAGGCAACGAUCAGUAGGGGUUCUGAGAGGAAGGUCCCCCACAUUGGAACUGAGACACGGUCCAAACUCC
rnacentral:rRNA from 1 species